GGAAUUGGCCAAAUCGAAUGGUGGCCCCUGUGUAGGCGUUGAAGUGGACAUCCUUCAUCGCAUAAUACACCUCAUAGCACGGGGUGCCAUUCUUCAUGAAGCUGUCUGUCCUCAGCAGCUGGAUUGCCGUGGUCAGCCUUGGUACUGAUCAUCAAAGGAACCUGGUGCGAAGUCAAAGUCGAUUUUUAUUGCAACCUAUAAGAAAAGAAGAAUCUUGACUUUAGAUUUUCGAGUCAGAUGGUGAAUGUGGUUGCAGAUUUGCUGUACUCUAUAAGGCCAAGCGUUCUCCUGGAAACAAAUAUUUGCUGAAGCAAGUUUCGCUCAGAAUCAUUACACUGUUCCAGUCCUUCCUGCACCAGUGACUUGUGCUAGAGAUUGAAUUUGGUUUGAUAAAUAAAUUACUGAAAGAUUGAAAAACUCAUCUCUCCGGAGAGGAAGUUCUGAAAACAUUGAGAAUAAGAAUGGCAAAAUAUGAAAGCCAAAAUAUCUGUUUCCCACUGAAUGGGUCACAUCGUUAGGUCUGAUGGCAACUGGCUUGUUAAGAGCAAAUUCCAGAACAGGACUGACUCAUUUGCAGGCAGUACUGGACUAGGGCCUGCCCAGGUGCUACCACAUGAAUCCAUGGAUCGAUGCAUGGACUGUACAGUCUCAGAAACAGAUCGAUUAGUGACUCUUGAAUAAGACAUCUCAGUUCAGUUUCUGGUGCUCCCUCUUCUUUAAUGUGUGAUCUUGGAUGAGCUGCUCAACCUCUCCGUUUCUCUGUUUCCUCGUGUGUUGGAGAUAAUAAUAGUAUCAACUUUAUUUUAAUGUUGAUAUAUUCAUAACCCAUAGAACAGUAUCUGGCAACUAGAAAUUGUCCAAUAAAUAAAAAAUAAUUAUUA